GAAUAGUGUGUUAUAUAACAGGAUAUAGAAGAGGCAGAUCAUUAUUUUCACACUCCAUCACAGCAGGUGGCGGUAUGCACCUUUAAAGUUGGUUCGUAACCCGCCAUUAAACCAAAAGAAGAAGAUGAAGAUCGUAACGUCAGCUCAUUGUAAGCAAUAGGUAAUUACUCGCUCACAAGCUUAUGAAUAAUUAUAUUGCAGCGAAUGCGUUACGACAGGCACUGUCAUUGUGUGAAUAAUUAAUGAUAUAGUGAUCCAAGCAUUACGUCGAGUUUGCCGUAAGCUUACCUCAUAGCCAUCAUAAGCCAGGUACGCUGACGGAAGGGUAACGUAACCACACGGAAGAGCCAAAAAGUACUAUGGAGGAAUACAAACGCAAAAGCAGCAGCAGUAACAACAACAGAAAACAGUUUUGUUAGAUAAAUGGCCUUGGGCAAAAGUCUUUAUAACUGCAAUAACAUAAGUUAGUGGAAACAGUGUCAGGCUUUCCCAGAUGGAGACAAUAUAGUGAGGUAAAAUUUUAGUGCUGUUUAAAUGAAUGCGUUGUGUUUGUUAUUCAUUUAAAAAUAUGAACAUAAAGUUAUGACUCAUGACAAACUGGCAAGAGAGUAAAUAACACAGAUCUGUCCAAAUAUGAGGGAAACUAUAUUCCUUUGUAGGCCUACUGUGUAGCAUUAUUAGAAUUAUUCACCGAGUGUUUAUUCACAAGAUUGACCGAAGCUUAUUUAGAUGACCAAAUUAUGAACAAUGACCCACCCUGAGGCUGUAAGAGUGUGCCUGAUGAGAGAAUGUGUACUUGAAGCAGUUAUAGGACUUAAUAUAUUCAAGAAGACCAAGCGAUCCUUAUAGGACUACAUGCAAAGCAAUGUACUCCAGACCGCACAACUGGACAUACAGAUUGUGCCCUGAUGCCAUCUGCCCCGUUCUCCCAGCCUCAUCUUCCCUCUCUAUGCCUAGCUUCACAUCGGUUGGCUCUCUUCAUCCCGUCUGCCUGCCUCGCUGCUCUCCCUGAUAACAUUUCCUGACUGAUGCCUUGCACUCUGACUCUUUCUGCAAGGUGCCAUUCUCAGCAGUGACUCAAUUUAGUGCCACCCUGCUGCUUGGCAUUGCACUUCUGAGGUCAUCACCAUCUUUCUUCAGCCAACCAAAAUGAUUCUCACCAACCACCCCAGCUCUGCUAAGCUUGAUGUUGGAGGUCUGCUGUUUUUGAAGCAGGGGACCACUGUCCAUUAAAGGCUUCAUAAACCAUUUAACAAAAUCACAUAAGAUAUAGUUCAUACUCCAUGCGAUGUGCCAUACAAUGGAAGGGCCAUGUUCCUUAUCACAUCUGGAUACUGCAAAGCUCCUGUCUCCUCAACAAUUUACGAACUAAUCAAUUAUUAAAUGAAGAAAUGCUAUGGAAAAGCAAAGAUAUUUCUUCCUGUGGACUUUGAGUCUUAAAUUUAGUAAUUACUGUUUAAUGGCAUAAAUAAAAGUUAAAUAUUAUGUUAUUUUAAAAGCAUCAUGUAUCUUUCUUCAUUCCUAAUGUAUUCUACUAGUAGUGUGUCAGGCACUUUAACCCUUAUGAAAAAAGCCAAGGAAAAUAGAGAGCAUCAUAUCAAAACAACUGUUUAUUUGCACAUGCAACAUUAAACUAUGGUAUACAUCUCUGUUUUCAUUACAAUAUUGAA